AAAUAGCCCUCCUAUAAGACCGUACCCUAAACCGACACAGGUGGACUGGUAGAGCAUACCAAGGCGCUUGAGAGAACGAUGUUGAAGGAACUCGGCAAAAUACCUCCGUAAGUUCGCGAGAAGGAGGCCCGGUUCCUAGGCAACUAGGGGCUGGGGGCACAAACCAGGGGGUGGCGACUGUUUAUUAAAAACACAGGGCUCUGCGAAGUCGCAAGACGACGUAUAGGGUCUGACGCCUGCCCGGUGCCUGAAGGUUAAAAGGAGAGGUGAGAGCCUUGAAUUGAAGCCCAGGUAAACGGCGGCCGUAACUAUAACGGUCCUAAGGUAGCGAAAUUCCUUGUCGGGUAAGUUCCGACCUGCACGAAUGGCGUAACGACUUCCCCGCUGUCUCCAACAUCGACUCAGCGAAAUUGAAUUGCCUGUCAAGAUGCAGGCUUCCCGCGGUUAGACGGAAAGACCCCGUGCACCUUUACUACAGCUUCGCACUGGCAUCAGGAUUGUGAUGUGCAGGAUAGGUGGUGGGCUUUGAAGCAGAGACGCAAGUCUUUGUGGAGCCUCCCUUGAGAUACCACCCUUCGCACUCUUGAUGUCUAACCGCGGUCCGUUAUCCGGAUCCGGGACCCUGCGUGGCGGGUAGUUUGACUGGGGCGGUCGCCUCCUAAAGCGUAACGGAGGCGCGCGAAGGUUGGCUCAGAGCGGUCGGAAAUCGCUCGUUGAGUGCAAUGGCAGAAGCCAGCCUGACUGCGAGACUGACAAGUCGAGCAGAGUCGAAAGACGGCCAUAGUGAUCCGGUGGUCCCGAGUGGAAGGGCCAUCGCUCAACGGAUAAAAGGUACGCCGGGGAUAACAGGCUGAUACUGCCCAAGAGUCCAUAUCGACGGCAGUGUUUGGCACCUCGAUGUCGGCUCAUCUCAUCCUGGGGCUGGAGCAGGUCCCAAGGGUACGGCUGUUCGCCGUUUAAAGAGGUACGUGAGCUGGGUUUAGAACGUCGUGAGACAGUUCGGUCCCUAUCUGCCGUGGGUGUAGGAGACUUGAGAGGAGUUGCCCCUAGUACGAGAGGACCGGGGUGAACGAUCCACUGGUGGACCAGUUGUCGUGCCAACGGCAGUGCUGGGUAGCUAUGAUCGGACAGGAUAACCGCUGAAGGCAUCUAAGCGGGAAGCCCCCCUCAAAACAAGGUCUCCCUGAGGGCCGUGGAAGACCACCACGUCAAUAGGCCGGAGAUGUAAGCGCAGUAAUGCGUUCAGUUGACCGGUACUAAUCGCCCGAUAGGCUUGAU
rnacentral:rRNA from 1 species